AAACCGGGGCUAAUACCGGAUGCUUGUUUGAACCGCAUGGUUCAAACAUAAAAGGUGGCUUCGGCUACCACUUACAGAUGGACCCGCGGCGCAUUAGCUAGUUGGUGAGGUAACGGCUCACCAAGGCGACGAUGCGUAGCCGACCUGAGAGGGUGAUCGGCCACACUGGGACUGAGACACGGCCCAGACUCCUACGGGAGGCAGCAGUAGGGAAUCUUCCGCAAUGGACGAAAGUCUGACGGAGCAACGCCGCGUGAGUGAUGAAGGUUUUCGGAUCGUAAAGCUCUGUUGUUAGGGAAGAACAAGUGCCGUUCAAAUAGGGCGGCACCUUGACGGUACCUAACCAGAAAGCCACGGCUAANNNNGUGCCAGCAGCCGCGGUAAUACGUAGGUGGCAAGCGUUGUCCGGAAUUAUUGGGCGUAAAGGGCUCGCAGGCGGUUUCUUAAGUCUGAUGUGAAAGCCCCCGGCUCAACCGGGGAGGGUCAUUGGAAACUGGGGAACUUGAGUGCAGAAGAGGAGAGUGGAAUUCCACGUGUAGCGGUG
rnacentral:rRNA from 1 species